rnacentral:rRNA from 1 species
CCUACGGGAGGCAGCAGUGAGGAAUAUUGGGCAAUGGGCGCAAGCCUGAUGCAGCGACGCCGCGUGAGGGAUGACGGCCUUCGGGUUGUAAACCUCUUUCAGCUCCGACGAAGCGCAAGUGACGGUAGGAGCAGAAGAAGCGCCGGCCAACUACGUGCCAGCAGCCGCGGUAAU